rnacentral:rRNA from 1 species
GACGAACGCUGGCGGCGUGCUUAACACAUGCAAGUCGAACGGAAAGGCCCUGCUUUUGUGGGGUGCUCGAGUGGCGAACGGGUGAGUAACACGUGAGUAACCUGCCCUUGACUUUGGGAUAACUUCAGGAAACUGGGGCUAAUACCGGAUAGGAGCUCCUGCUGCAUGGUGGGGGUUGGAAAGUUUCGGCGGUUGGGGAUGGACUCGCGGCUUAUCAGCUUGUUGGUGGGGUAGUGGCUUACCAAGGCUUUGACGGGUAGCCGGCCUGAGAGGGUGACCGGCCACAUUGGGACUGAGAUACGGACCAGACUCGUACGGGAGGCAGCAGUGGGGAAUAUUGCACAAUGGGCGGAAGCCUGAUGAAGCAACGCCGCGUGCGGGAUGACGGCCUUCGGGUUGUAAACCGCUUUCGCCUGUGACGAAGCGUGAGUGACGGUAAUGGGUAAAGAAGCACCGGCUAACUACGUG